rnacentral:SRP_RNA from 1 species
CCGUGCUAGGUGGGGCGCUAGGGGUGCCCUCAACCCGAAAUCCUCUUCAUGCGGGACCGAAUCCCCGCCCGAGAGCUGGUAAGCCCCCAGGGCCGGUCCCGGGUACGUGGCGUUGAUCGUCAGGUCCUGCGCGGCGGUGCGAUCGUGAAUCGGGUCAGGUCCGGAAGGAAGCAGCCCUAAGCGACUCGCACCGGGUGCAGCAGGGUCGCUUGACGGGAGCCGGCGACCCGGGACCGCGCUGGGGAAAUCCGCCCGAAGGCGGGGGCGCACGG